UCCAAUGAUGUCGUAAUUUGCGUCAUAUCGUGGCCUACUGGAGACGGUUGCCUGCCUUUUUUAAUCCGGACGUCGCAAUUAUGAAAAUUAAUUUCUGAGGA
rnacentral:snoRNA from 1 species